rnacentral:rRNA from 1 species
GACGAACGCUGGCGGCGUGCUUAACACAUGCAAGUCGAACGCUGAAGCUCAGCUUUUGUUGGGUGGAUGAGUGGCGAACGGGUGAGUAACACGUGAGUAACCUGCCCCCUUCUUUGGGAUAACGCCCGGAAACGGGUGCUAAUACUGGAUAUUCACUGGUCUUCGCAUGGGGGUUGGUGGAAAGGGUUUUUCUGGUGGGGGAUGGGCCCGCGGCCUAUCAGCUUGUUGGUGGGGUGAUGGCCUACCAAGGCUUUGACGGGUAGCCGGCCUGGGAGGGUGACCGGUCACAUUGGGACUGAGAUACGGCCCAGGAUCCUACGGGGGGCAGCAGUGGGGAAUAUUGCGCAAUGGGCGCAAGCCUGAUGCAGCGACGCCGCGUGAGGGAUGGAGGCCUUCGGGUUGUGAACCUCUUUCGCUCAUGGUCAAGCCGCAACAAUGGUUGUGGUGAGGGUAGUGGGUAAAGAAGCGCCGGCUAACUACGUG